CUAACCAUAGGCCAUGAAUCUGGUCUUGGGACACUGUCAGGUGGGCAGUUUGACUGGGGCGGUCGCCUCCCAACAGGUAACGGAGGCGCUCAAAGGUUCUCUCAGUACGGUCGGAAAUCGUACGUAGCGUGUAAAGGCAAAAGAGAGCUUGAUUGCAAGACAUACAGGUCGAGCAAGGAUGAAAAUCGGACUUAGUGAUCC
rnacentral:rRNA from 1 species